rnacentral:rRNA from 1 species
CCUACGGGUGGCUGCAGUGAGGAAUAUUGGUCAAUGGGCGCGAGCCUGAACCAGCCAAGUAGCGUGAAGGAUGACUGCCCUACGGGUUGUAAACUUCUUUUGUAAAGGAAUAAAGUGGGGCACGUGUGCCUUUUUGUAUGGACUUUAUGAAUAAGGAUCGGCUAACUACGGGCCAGCAGCCGCGGUAAUACGGAGGAUCCGAGCGUUAUCCGGAUUUAAUGGGGUUAAAGGGAGCGUAGAUGGGUUGGUAAGUCAGUUGGGAAAGUUUGCGGCUCAACCGUAGAAUUGCAAUUGAUACUGGCAGUCUUGAGUACAGGUGAGGUAGGCGGAAUUCGUGGUGUAGCGGUGAAAUGCAUAGAUAUCACGAAGAACUCCGAUUGCGAAGGCAGCUUACUAAACUGCCACUGACGUUGAUGCUCGAAAGUGUGGGUAUCAAACAGGAUUAGAUACCCGAGUAGUC